GAUGAAGAACGCAGCGAAAUGCGAUAAGUAGUGUGAAUUGCAGAAUUCAGUGAAUCAUCGAAUCUUUGAACGCACAUUGCGCCCUUUGGUAUUCCUUAGGGCAUGCCUGUUCGAGCGUCAUUUAAACCUUCAAGCUCAGCUUGGUGUUGGGUGACUGUCCGCCGCCUCCGGGCGGUCGGACUCGCCUCAAAUUGAUUGGCGGCCGGUACUUUGGUUUCGAGCGCAGCAGAAACGCGAACUCGAGGCCGUCGUCCUGGCUCCCAGAAGCUAUCUUCACAAUUUUGACCUCGGAUCAGGUAGGGAUACCCGCUGAACUUAAGCAUAUCAAUAAGCGGAGGA
rnacentral:misc_RNA from 1 species